CAGCUACUCCCUCCGUCCGAAAAAGCUUGUCUCUCAAAUGGAUGUAUCUAACACCGAAUUAGUGCUAGAUACAUCCAUUUAAGGAACAAACUUGGGACAUGCUUUUUUGGACGGAGGGAGUAGUAC
rfam:Triticum urartu cultivar G1812 contig1156162, whole genome shotgun sequence.